rnacentral:rRNA from 1 species
GUCUACGGCCUUGCUACCGUGAACAAGCCCAAUCCCAUCUGAUCCCGGAAGCUAAGCAGGGUUGGGCCUGGUUAGUACUUGGAUGGGAGACCACCUAGGAAGACCAGGUGCUGUAGGCA